rnacentral:rRNA from 1 species
CGAGUGAAGCGGCAACAGCUCAAAUUUGAAAUCUGGCCCUUUCAGGGUCCGAGUUGUAAUUUGUAGAGGGCGCUUUGGUGUUGGCUGCGGUCUAAGUUCCUUGGAACAGGACGUCACAGAGGGUGAGAAUCCCGUACGUGGUCGACAGCCUCCACCGUGUAAAGCCCCUUCGACGAGUCGAGUUGUUUGGGAAUGCAGCUCUAAAUGGGAGGUAAAUUUCUUCUAAAGCUAAAUACUGGCCAGAGACCGAUAGCGCACAAGUAGAGUGAUCGAAAGAUGAAAAGCACUUUGGAAAGAGAGUCAAAAAGCACGUGAAAUUGUUGAAAGGGAAGCGCUUGCAAUCAGACUUGCCCGCAGUUGCUCAUCCAGGCUCGCGCCUGGUGCACUCUUCUGCGGGCAGGCCAGCAUCAGUUCAGGCGGCUGGAUAAAGGCCUCUAUCACGUAUCUUCCUUCGGGUUGACCUUAUAGGGGAGGCGCAAUGCAGCCAGCCUGGACUGAGGUCCGCGCAUUCGCUAGGAUGCUGGCGUAAUGAUUGUAAGCGGCCCGUCUUGAAACACGGACCAAGGAGUCUAACAUCUAUGCGAGUGUUUGGGUGUCAAGCCCGGACGCGCAAUGAAAGUGAACGGAGGUGGGAACCCUCGCGGGUGCACCAUCGACCGAUCCUGAUGUCUUCGGAUGGAUUUGAGUAAGAGCAUAGCUGUUGGGACCCGAAAGAUGGUGAACUAUGCCUGAAUAGGGUGAAGCCAGAGGAAACUCUGGUGGAGGCUCGCAGCGGUUCUGACGUGCAAAUCGAUCGUCAAAUUUGGGCAUAGGGGCGAAAGACUAAUCGAACUAUCUAGUAGCUGGUUCCUGCCGAAGUUUCCCUCAGGAUAGCAGUAACGUUUUCAGUUUUAUGAGGUAAAGCGAAUGAUUAGAGGCCUGGGGGUUGAAACAACCUUCACCUAUUCUCAAACUUUAAAUAUGUAAGAAGUCCUUGUUACUUAAUUGAACGUGGACAUUUGAAUGUACCGUUACUAGUGGGCCAUUUUUGGUAAG